rnacentral:rRNA from 1 species
AAAGGGUUGUCGGAGACUACGACGUUGAUAGGUCAGGUGUGUAAGUGCUGUGAGGCAUUGAGCUAACUGAUACUAAUUGCCCGUGAGGCUUAACCAU